rnacentral:rRNA from 1 species
UCUACGGGUGGCUGCAGUGGGGAAUAUUGGACAAUGGGGGCAACCCUGAUCCAGCCAUGCCGCGUGUGUGAAGAAGGCCCUCGGGUUGUAAAGCACUUUCAGUGAGGAAGAACGCCUGGUGGUUAAUACCCAUCAGGAAAGACAUCACUCACAGAAGAAGCACCGGCUAACUCCGUGCCAGCAGCCGCGGUAAUACGGAGGGUGCGAGCGUUAAUCGGAAUUACUGGGCGUAAAGCGCGCGUAGGUGGCUUGAUAAGCCGGUUGUGAAAGCCCCGGGCUCAACCUGGGAACGGCAUCCGGAACUGUCAAGCUAGAGUGCAGGAGAGGAAGGUAGAAUUCCCGGUGUAGCGGUGAAAUGCGUAGAGAUCGGGAGGAAUACCAGUGGCGAAGGCGGCCUUCUGGACUGACACUGACACUGAGGUGCGAAAGCGUGGGUAGCAAACAGGAUUAGAUACCCUGGUAGUC